CAGUCGCCACGGGAAAACGGAGGGGGCUAGCGUUGUUCGGAAUUACUGGGCGUAAAGCGCACGUAGGCGGCUUGGUAAGUUAGAGGUGAAAGCCUGGAGCUCAACUCCAGAAUUGCCUUUAAGACUGCCGAGCUAGCAGGUGAGAGAGGUAAGUGGAAUUCCGAGUGUAGAGGUGAAAUUCGUAGAUAUUCGGAAGAACACCAGUGGCGAAGGCGGCUUACUGGCUCAUACUGGACGCUGAGGUGCGAAAGCGUGGGGAGCAAACAGGAUUAGAGACCCCUGUAGUCCCUGUCUCUUAUAC
rnacentral:rRNA from 1 species